UGGAUAAUUCAUUAUUUUGGUUUUCAAUAAAGUAGACUAGUUUUUGAAAGUAAAAGAGCAAUAUCAGCAGAGUUGGUAUUGCUCUUUUACUUUAUCAGAGUCUUUUUUUUAUACAUUUUCUUAUACAUAUUUAUACAUAAAUUGUGGAUUUAUUAUAAUAUUCUUUAGUGUUCUUUAUUUCAACAUAAGCGAUAAAAAAAUGGGAGUUUCAUAUUUUUUUUUCGUUUCGUAUUUCGAAAUGUAAACAAAAAAAUGAAUGUUUCACCACCACUUUUUUUCUUAGAAGACGAGUAAAAACUUAGAAGAAAAAAAAGAUGCGAACGAAAGAGUACAAAUUAAAUUGAAGUCUCAGUAAUUUUAACAAACAUAAGAUAGGGGCGGAUGUAGCCAAGUGGAUC
rnacentral:misc_RNA from 1 species